UACGUAGGGUGCGAGCGUUAAUCGGAAUUACUGGGCGUAAAGCGUGCGCAGGCGGUUUUGUAAGCCAGAUGUGAAAUCCCCGGGCUUAACCUGGGAAUGGCAUUUGGGACUGCAAGGCUCGAGUGCGGCAGAGGAGACUGGAAUUCCUGGUGUAGCAGUGAAAUGCGUAGAUAUCAGGAGGAACACCGGUGGCGAAGGCGGCUUCCUGGACACUUACUGACGCUGAGACGCGAAAGCGUGGGGAGCAAACAGG
rnacentral:rRNA from 1 species